GUGAAUGGCCUUGUCCAAAAAUCACCAUCUCCCUUCUUUUAAGUUCUUUUUCUAUAUCUUUGUUUUGUGAGAAAAAGGUUAUAUUUGAUGAUGCAGAGGGUUUCUUCGGUUGAAGCUGUGAGGUUUGUGAUGGUGGUUUUGGUGGCCGUGGCAGCACUAAGCCAAGUGCAUGUAGCAGAGGCAGUGACAUGCAGUCCAACAGAGCUGAGCCCAUGCUUGGCAGCUCUCACGUCGUCGGCGCCGCCGUCCGGAGCAUGCUGCAACAAGCUGAGGCAGCAGAGGCCAUGCCUUUGUGGGUACCUGAGAAACCCUAAUCUGAGGCAAUAUGUUAACUCUCCCAAUGCCAAAAGGAUUGUUGCAACCUGUGGAAUUCCCUAUCCUCGGUGUUAGGUUUUAACUAAAUGUUUUAUCAAAAAGCUUGUCAUAAACAAAAAAGUCAUAAAUAAAAAAGUGUGUUGCAAGAUUGAUUAGUGAGUAUUAACGUGGAAUAUGCUAAAGUUUGUGAGUGACAGAUGGCUUGGGUGCCAUCAAUGUACUUCUGAAGAUGGAAUAUAUUGUAAAAUAUAUGGAUAAUGAACUGAUAAUAAGCUGUAUUUAUGUUAUGUACUCAUGCUCCCUUUUUUUUUUUUUUUUUUUUUUGGAGACUUCCUAUUUUUAUUUUCAUUAUUAUUAUUAGAUUGGUGCUAUUUACACUCUCAAAUUCACUUUAAAUAUUCUAUUACUUUGUACAGUAAUAUGCUAAUAUUUUUCAAACAAAAAAAUUAAGGUUUACUUCGUACACUUUUUAAAAUUUCAAAAAAAAUCUAUACUUGAACUAUUUAAAUUAAUUAACUUUAUCUAAUUGAAAUACCAAUAAACUAUUUAACACACCCAAUUUUACUGGGUUUGACACAUUUAAAACAAUAAAAUCAAACAAGUCAUAAAAAAAUUAUUUAACGCAAUUUUAGUUAUUAUUAUUAUUAUUUUAUUUCUGUUCAAUAUUAGAUCUUACAUCUAAAAUAACUUGCAAUGAGAAUACACUAAUAAAAAAAAUCUAUAAAUACUUAAAAAAAAAAAAAGGAGGAGAAAGAAGACGAAGAAGAAGGACAACUGGACAAGAAGAAUGGUCAAAAGCGGGAAAAAAAAAAGUUGUUUUACAAUACUUUGGUUCUUUUUUUGCAAAACAAAAAUAUCACACAUACUUUAUAUUAAUUUUUUAAAAAAAUAUUGAUUUUCUCACUGUCCAUCUAAAUAUUAAUUAAGAUAUUAAAAAUAAAAAUUUUAAGGUAUGAGAAUUAUACAUUGAAUUAUAAGUAUAAUAUAUGGGUGUUCAAAAUAAUUUAUAAUAUUGACUUAUAAUAAAUUAUUUUUAAUAGUAAUUUAUAUGAUAAAUAUUUUUACAAUAGAUUUAUAUUAAAAUAAAAGUGUUAAAAGCGAACCUCAUUAUUAUUGUUGUUAUUUCAAUUUUCCAUUUGGUUGAAAAUUGAAUUGCGUAAAGAUGAAUUACUCCUCUUCUUGUUUCCUUUUUAUACUUUUUAUUGAAUUGGUUGUUAGACUUGAUGAUAAUUCUCUUCAGUUUUUGUUACGGGAUGUGCAGAAUUUGAGAGAAAGCUAGCUAAUUAAGGACCAAUAAAAGUUAAAAAUUAACUAUUAUCUUAAUCACGCACCAUGAACACGGUUCUCUCAAUGUCAAUGUGAUGUGAUGUUACAUGAGCUACAGCUGAAUGUAAAAUCCGUCGUUUCAGCAAUAAUUAAGGCCUGAUUGGUGGGAUAAUUGUCUUUCCAAGAUGAAAUAAAAUUAGCAAUCAAGCUUCAAAAUUUUGGAUUUGGUACGUUUUUUUCAAGAUCUCAAUAAGAACAAGUUUGGUAUCAAUUGUCAAAUCUAAAGAUGCAAAUUUAGCCGUACAAAAGUUAACAACUAAUUAGUAACGGUAUCCUUUCGACAUUUGUAUGUAUAAUUAUUACGCAACCACUCUAGCUUUGCAUUACCUUAAUUUAUCAAAUAAAUUACUAACUUAAAUAAUUUUGAUAUAUAUGGUAUUCUUAAAUGAGUGUGUGUAUAUAUUGUCAUUUUAUUCUAAUUAAAAAAAUAAUACUUAAAAUGAUAAAAAUACAAAAUCAUUUUCCUAUUAAAGAAAUAAAAAAUGAAAAUUUAAUUUGAAACAAAGAAGAUUUUUACCUGAAUUCAUUCCUCUAUGGAGAGAGGCUCCAUGAAAGAAGAGAAUAGGGAGCAACCUUCGCCUGAGGUGGGGUUUCGGCUUCCUUACCUUAAGGUAGUGUUUACUUGUUGGAGUGAGAGUGAGGAGUCUGGAUUCCUCCCACUCCAGUGUUUACUUACUAAUUUUAAGGGGGGAGUGGAAAUCUCACUCCGUGGGACCCAUCUUUUUUUAGAGCGGGAAGUGGGAUUCCCACUCCCAUGGGGGGAGGUGGGAGUGGAAAUCCACUCCCCCCUCUUCUAUUUUUAUCCUUAUAUUUAAUUAAAUAAAAUAAAUAAUAUUUAAUAAAAUAAAAUAAUAUCAUAUUUACUUAAAUAAUAUUAUUAUAUUAUUUUAUAAAUUAUACUUAUUAAAAAUAAUAAUUUAUAUUGAAUCUAAGUUAAAAUUACUUAAAAAUAAUAUUAUUAUACUCAUAGAGAAUUAAUAAUAUUACUAUAUACUCUUUUUAUUUGAAAAUAUAAUAUUAUUAUAUUUAUUUAAAAAUAAUAGUAUUAUAUUUAUUUAAUAUUAGUAAUUAAUAAUAAUCAAUAUUUUAUUCUAAGAAAGUAUUAAUUUUGUAUUAUAUUAUUAAUAAUAAUGUUUCAUUUGUGUUGCUCUUAAUAAUAAUUUUUUUAUUUGCAUAAUUAAAAUUAAAUUUAAUAAAAAAAUCAUUUACAUAAUUAAGAAUAUUAAUAAUUAUUAUUAAUUUACAAAUAUAAUAAAAUAAAUAUUUUAUUUUUCAAAUCUAUUUUUUUUAUUAAUUUUGUAAUUAAAAACUAUAAUUCUUUAAAUAAGGAUAAAACUGUAAUUUAAAAUUAUUUACUCCCAAUUCUAUGCUCUCAUUCCAGUAUAAGUAAACAACUUACUCCCACUCCCACUCCACACUCCUAAUCCCAGAAUUCUCACUCCAAUCCAAAACGUAAACGCAGCAUAAGAGUGGACAGAUACUGAUCUCAGUUGUCGAUGGGGCAAGUAGUCCAAUGCAAAAUGCCCAACCAAGAUUUCUUUAUUCUUUUUAAAGAGAGGGAUUUAGAUAUUUUAAGAAAUUCUCGGCCUUUACCUAUCUUUACUAAAUAAAUAAGAAAAGAGAUGACUUUUUCGUUUGGUUGAUUACUGAAGAAGGCUCUUAUCUUGGUAAGUCUGUUCUCUUCCAGACAGUCUGUCUUUUCACCUAACAUAGUGUUAUAACGUUAAUUAAUUAUUUUAUUUUUUCUUCUAAAAACACACAAUAAUAUAAUUAAUUUUGUCAAUCUUUUUUUUAAGUUUUUUUGGGUUCAAUUAUCGAUACUCUUUGGUACAUAUUGAAUUGAAGUCAUUUAUAUAGAAUCAAACGUUUCUACUUUCUAGCACUUGUGAGUUUUGACUAGUUUAGUAAUAAUUGACUCUAACUUCUAAUGAAGGCGGCUAGAAAUAAUAUUGACUGUUAAUGCUUAUAAUCCAAUUAAUAUCACAACCAGCAACUUGAAGAUUAAGAAGGGAAAAAAAAGGAGAAAAAAGAUAAAGAAUAUAUUUAUUUAUUGGUUAAAUUUUUUAUUAUUAAUUCAUUUAAUCAUGCUAAUUAUUCAAUCACUAAUUAAUUAAAUUGUGAUGUUGAUUGGUUUUAUUGGUAAAAAGUUUUGGUAUAUUACAACUAAACAAGAGGGCUGAGGUUAGGAAUCUCACUCAUGAUCGAGCUUAAGAAGCGUUUGAUUUAUAUUUAUAAUUUAAUAUUUACAAAUUACUACAUCAUGAAACUAUAUUACUUUAAGUACAAUUAACAAUUGAUAAUCUAUAAAAUGACUUGUUAAUAGGAUAAGAAUUCGAUAUAGAUAAAAGAAAUAUAGAAUUAAGGAAUCCAAUACAAAAACAAUCAAAAGUAACAAUUUUAAUAUGAAUUUUUUUUUUGAUACACUGAUAUUACAAUUAAAAUACUACUAAUAUGUAUGAUUUAUCAAUUUUUUUGUGUCUUUUGAUGCGACUGUAGGAUACAAUCGUAAUAUUCUUUUCUUACUUAAUAUUGGAGAAAUUCCAACUUCCAAACGGAUGGAUGUCGACUUUAUUGGAGAUAAUUGAAUCCCAACAAAGCUAGGACUUGAAUCCAAGGUUGUUGCCAAUGCCCCAUUCAAAGUUAAUAAGCUUAGGUUUGCCAUAAAUGAUGAGAUGAUUUUCUAGAUUCUGUCUUUAUGAUCCCCCACCGAUCAACAAUCAACUGCAUUCUAAGGACACAUUGUUGGCAUCAGACCUGCUUACCCAAUUUUCAACAAUAAUUGUUUAUUAGGUCCCACGUCUAAAUUGAACAACGUCCACUUACACCAUGUUUCGUACGUAGUUUCUGUUGAGAUAAUAAAUAACAUCAGGAUACCAGUAGUUUUGCAUUUUAUAAAUAAGAACACAGUUUUUCAUUUGUAUUAACAAGGUCCCUUAUUCUAAUUUAUUUCCUAUUGAAAUUACCAAAUACACUUAGGUAGUGUUUGGUUGGAAGAAUGGGAAGGAAAUGAGAAACAAAAAGAUGAAUGAAAAAGAAAGAGGAAGGGAAUUUGAUUCAUUUGUUUGGGUUGUGAAGGAAUUGUAAGGGGAAAGGAAACAACUAUUAUGUAAAUGGGCAAAAUAUCAUCUACUCAAAUAUGAUUUAAUUACUGAUUCUAUUUUAAGAAAUAAAUAAAUUUAACAAUAAUGAUGGGAAUCUCAACAGUUGAGUCUCAAUUAUUAUGUAGCAUUCAUCUAUUAGAUAAUGGAUUUCAUAACCAAUAAAAUUAAUAUUCUACCAUCUUAGAUAAAAUACCACAUUAAUUAAGACUCAAUUAUUGGGAUCUCUAAUAAUAUUACACUUUAUGUAAUAGUAUUAAAUGAUGUUUCAACAAAUCUAAAUUCGUUGCAACCAUUUCAAAAUGUGAGAAACAUAAAUCAAACUAAAGAGAGCAAUGACCUCGAGAUUCUCCUUGCAUGUAGUUAGAGAGCUAAGAAAAUUAUUGUUCAAUAAACAAAAUCGGACAAGGCCAAAUUUUGGCUUACUAAAUUACGAUUAUCAUAUAAGUGCAAAUUUGGUAAUCAAAAUACGUAAAAGGGUAAACCGAAGGCUUAAUAAAUAAAUGGAACUGAAUCAGGAUUCCAAUUUCUUGUUAUUAAUAGCUUAAACUAAAGGGCGUUUUAGUGAUUUGAAUAAGGAUUAAGGACCUAUCUGAUACAAAUAGACAGAUUUAUACCUUACAUGAGAAAAUGUGGACCCAUAAGUUAUUUCCCUACUCAUUCUUUGUCUAUAAAUUGUGCAACAAGCCUUGUCCAAAUAUCACCAACUCCAUUCUCCAAGAUCUUCUAGUAUAUUUUUGUUUUGUGACAAAUAGUUUUGAUAAUGAAGAAGGUUUCUUCUGUUGCGGCUGUGGGCUUUGUCGUGGCGCUGCUGGUGGCUGUGGCAGCACUAAGCCAAGUUAAUGUGGCAGAGGCAGCGACGUGCAACCCUACGGAGCUGAGCCCAUGUGCGCCAGCAAUCACAUCGUCGGCACCGCCGUCGGGAGCAUGCUGCAACAAGAUGAGGCAGCAGAGGCCAUGCCUUUGUGGGUUCCUGAGGGACCCUAACCUGAAGCAAUAUGUUAACUCUCCCAAUGCUAAAAGGGUUAUUGCUACCUGCGGAAUUCCCUAUCCUCGGUGUUAGGGUUAAUAAUACGCCUUGUUUAAUUAGUGCUUAAAAGGAGGGUGUUACUAAAUAAAAUCUUGAGAGGUGCAUGGUUAUGUUGGCAUUAGUUUACUAGUGAAGCUAUGAAAAAAUAUAUGAAUAGCAAUAUGUGCGAAUAUGAGGUUAAUUAAUAAAAUAAAAUAAUAAGUUGUGGUUGUUGUAUUUAUGUUAUGUACUCAUAUGCUGCUUCUUUGUUUUCGUUAUUAUUUCUGUUGUUGUUAUUAUUUUAAUUUUCUUUUUAUUAUUUGUUUUUUUUGGGGUAAUACAUCGACUAAACGCAGUUGCUUUUGCAGUAGUUUUGAGUUUUAAAAACAGUAAGCAGUCCCUCAAAGAUAACGAGGGAUUAUGGACGUGGAAAUCAUUUUCAAAAACGGUUAUCUAUCCAUUAUAGGUAUAUUUAAAAAAAUAAGAAAUUAAACAGUCUAAUCAACCACAGACAUGAUUUUUUUAAAAAAAUUAUCAGGGGGUCAAUAAGAGAAGUGAAGGAUCUUUAGUUGUUGGUAAUCUUAAUUUUCUCCUCUUACAAUAAAAAAGAAAAAAAUCUUAAUUUCCUCUCUUUCUGCUGCGACGUCUUUUUUUUUCAUUUUUCCUUUUCAACUGGGAUUUAAGAAAUGAAUUUUUGGUAACUGCACAAAACUUGAAAAUUGAAAUCUAACGUUUGGGCUGGACCCGUGGCCCAUGGCAAGACAUCUCAGUAGCCUCUGUUUGUCUCGUUCGUGCGCCUUUAAGAAUUAAAGUGGGGCUAUCAGCACCCCCUGAUAUCCUUUUCAAACCCCUUUUCUGUUUAUUUCCUCCUCAAUUCCUAAAAUAGCCUUUAUCUGUAAUGUUUCCGCAAACAAUUUCGACCUCCUUUCAGUUAUCACUCUUCAACCACUCCCACUUCAAGUUUCUUCUUUUUAUAGGAAAGGUUGUUGAUAACAACCCAAUAUUUUGUAUCGCAUGCGCUUAAUUUAUUAUGAGGUUUUUAUUUGUUUUCGUUUUAUACUUUUCAGUUUAUGACAUUAUAUUUCAAAAUAAAUAUGUAUAAAAUACACGCAAGGUUUAGUUAUCUCCUAGCAUUCUAAUAACGUUGGUAAUUUAUGAAAAUUUUAUAAAAUUAUCUUUCCUACAAAAAUAAAUUGUUAAGUGAAAAAAAAAAUACUUUAUAUCAAAUUCUUACUCUUUUACCAUUGACCUUUUUUUUCCCAAAAAAAAAAUUGCAACUUUUAAGUGCUUUAGUGGAGAAAGAGUCAGUGAGAAAAAAUCAUAUAUGGAUUUAAUAAGAUAAGAUUUUACAGCUAAUACAAUUCAAGAUACAAGGGAUAAAAUUGUAAAUGUAUAACAAGAGGGGUUUUAUAAGAAAAACACAGGGGUGCGAAUAGCAUCACUCUAAGAAUUAAGACCUCCGUUCAACUCUCGCAUUCUUCUCUUUUCUUGUUUUAUUUUACCCCCCCCCCCCCCCCCCAAAACACACACACAAAGACCAAAAAAAAAAAAAAAACCAAUUGGAUACUAACGAAAAAUUAAAAGAAAAACGUUCGAUUCGAAUGCAUUUAUUUUUAUUUUUUUAUAGGAAUCAAGUUGAGAGGAAACUAUCUUUGAAAAUUCUCGAUGAAAGAAUUACGGUUAGUUUAAAUUUUGCUCUUAGGGUUCUGCUUGAGUAAUUUUUAAAUAAUUUUAUUUAUUCAGUCACCUUAGUUUGAAUCCUCAAUGAGGUAAAGAAUUAAAAUACUAAUUUGGAGUUUGUCCACCCCUCUAUCUUUUGAACAUAAAUAAAAUAAGAAAAAAAUAAAAUAUUGGUCUGGAUUUUAAUAACAUGCAAUCAUAAUUAUAUAGAGAUAACUCAUCUAAGUUCAAUCUAGUUACAAGUAGAUCAGUUGCUCCGAAAGUGAACAAAAAUAAAGAGAUUUUGAUAAAUAUUUUGAUUAUCUUUGAAACUUUCUUCAUAAAAUUAUGGGUUCAAAAUUUAAGAGAAAUGUUAGACAUAAUGAAGCCAAUUAACAUUCAUGAACGAAACAUUUAUACAGAAACCCCAUGAACUAACACUUGUCCUGUCUCUCCAUCCAACAAAAGACACCUCUCACAAGCCCUUAUUCGUUGUCAGCAUCAACUAAAGCACACGAAUGCAUGUUUUCAUCACCUCAUGAUCUUUGCUUGCAUCUAUAAAUAAUAAUUCAGCGGCAAAGCCAUGGCCUCAUGCACCAUUGACUAAAUCAUGAAGAAGAAUAACAAUAAUGUAUCUGGUGCUUUCAUCUUCAUGGCGUCAGCACUGCUGCUGGCUACUGUAGUGUUUUCUAGGGAACUGCCCGUGGCUGAGGCAGUGACUUGCAAUCCCUCGCAGCUGACUCCGUGCCUGCCGGCAUUCACAUGGACGGCGCCGCCAUCAACCGUGUGCUGCAACAGCUUGAGGCAGCAGAGGCCCUGCCUUUGCACUUACCUUAGGAAUCCACUCUACAAGCAAUAUUAUGAUUCUCCUAAUUCCAGAAGGAUUGCUGUAACCUGCGGCGUUCCAUUUCCUAGGUGUUAAUCUUGCUUCUUGCUUAACAAUGAGUGUAAUGAUAAUCAAUAAUGAAUAAUCAAAACGAAUGAAUAAUAAAAAUUUUUAUGUCGUAUGUUAUGUUCCUACUUCUAUGCAUAUUUUUUCUUCCGUUUAAUUCUUAUCUUAUAUAUCUCUUGCUUAAUUAUCUACAAAAACAAUAGAGAAACUUGAUAUGGAUUCGGAUUUUUUUUAAAAAAAAAUUUUAUUAGUAACUCACAUACCCAUUCAAGUUCAAAAUUAGAAUCUGAACCUAAAAAUAAUUAUCCUUUAGUACUAGAACUAGAACUUAGCAUCUAAAUAUAGAUAAUCUAUUAUUUACACGCAGCGCUAGCAAUUUCUAUCUUUGCAGGGUUGCGAUUAGAAUUCAAUUAGACGCCUUCCUUCUAUAUAAACCAAUUGAUUAAAAUGAGAUAAUUUUGAAGAGUAGUGUUUUUCUUUUUCUCCUUAAGAUCGAGUUAAAGCCUUCUCAAUUAUGAUAUUAUAUAGCCGUUGAAUGUUCUUCUCCUCCACAAAUCAAUACAAAGUUUUAUUCUCAAGAACAUCCCAUUGGUCAUUGCUUCAAUCAUAUCUUAUUGAAAAACAUUAUAGUUUUUUAUGAUCAAAGUUUAUGAUUCUCAACUAAUUACUUGUUUUGUAUUAAUGAAACAUCAAUAUCUAUAUUGUGACUGUUAAUGAACCAAAAUAUAUUUGAUAGUAUAAAUGGUCUCCUUUUUUUUUUUUAUUGUUAUCUAGUUUCUAUCACGGAGGUGUAUGCUAAUGGCACAUUUAAAAAUAUCAAAAUCUAAAAUAAAAGGUAUUUUAUCGGAACAAUCAAUUUUAUGUCUAUUAGCGCUCAAAUUAACAAGUCAUAAUCUUCUCAUUAAGUGAAGUCCUUGGUAUGAAAAAAAAAUGCUUUGAUUAACACGUUUUGCUAAUAAUAAUAAAUAUAAGGAGCAAGAACAAUGACAAAUCAUCUACAUUGAUACUCACACUGUAUCAUCACUUCAUCAACUAAUUUUUGUUCAUAUUUUUUGUAUUAGAUAAAAUCUAAAUUAGCGGAUUUUUGUAAUUAAAAAAAAAAGGAGAGAAAGUAAUCCUAUUGAAUUGAUGAAAUGGUCAUGGGAAAGCAUUUUAUUUUUAAAAUAGAUUUGUAAUUAAUGACACUAAAUCACGCGAUGUUAUUUGUUUUUCUUUUACUAAUUGUUUGUUAAUAUUAACUACGUUGGGCCUAAUUCGUUGAACAUCUAAGCCCAAUUGACUCACUAAUAGGACAUUCCUUGAAGACAUGGGCCCACUGGAUGCCGACAACUCAUACUGAAUUGUCAUCCACAGCGUUCGUUCAAGUUGAAGGCCACUAAAUUACCUAUUUGUCCCUGGUUGAUUUGUGGAGGAGAAGAACAUUCAACGGCUAUAUAGUAUUAUGAUGGAGGGAUCGAUGGGGUAUUAAUUCACUAGCAAAACUUUGCCUUGAAAGAGGCAUACCAAUAUUGGGAAUUUGAAGGGUUCUCAAAUCCUAAAUGUUGCUUGUGGAGGCACCCUUUAUCAAGAUGUGAGUACUGAACUUUCAAAUAAAUGCCCUAAUGGUACUCAUAGAGUGAGUCACAUCAACUAUGAUGAUUAUGAUGGGCAUAGGCAUAUGAUAAAGGUAAUUGAAAAUACCCCUUGGCAAAAUUGGUUCAAGGAUUCUAUUGAUAAAGAAAAUAUGGAAGUUUUGGUGAAUAAUUAUCACCAUCAAGGUGUUAAAAGAUUAGCCCAAAGAUUUUUUCCGAUGGCUUUCGCACCUGAUGGUUUAAUUGAAGGGUUCUAUGACCCUGAAGCUUAUAAUCCUCGAGAGGGUAAGUUCUUAGUAGGACUACAAUUUCAUCCUGAGCGAAUGAGGCUGCCCAGUUCUGAAGAAUUUGACUAUCCUGGAUGUCCAAUUGUUUAUAAGAUAAAAUAAUGUUUUUAUUUUAUUUUUAUAUGUUUUUAAUUAAUUUUUUUAUAAUUAAUGAUACAGCAUUGAUUAGUUUGAAAUAAAACUUCAAGAAUUUGUAAAGGCAGUGAUUGCUUACCAGAAGAGGAUGAAUAGGGCAUCAUAUGUGCCCAAUUUUAUACCUCUACAGCAGAAAAUUGGGAAGAGCAAAGUACUUGUUAAAAGUUUCACUCCUGCAAAAGAUAUAAACAUCUCAGGCCAAACGGCGCAUCCAUCAGAAGAAUCUGAACUUCAAGCUGUGGCAGAAUUUCUUGAGGUAAUAAAUUAACGUGGUAGUUCGGUGUCUACUUUUGUUAUUUUUGCAGUCCGAUAUUGCGGCUCCAGGUUUCCAGGAAUAUGAGAUGAGUCUAAGGCUGAUGCAAAUGGGGGCAGCAGUUAGAAAUUCAUCUUCCUACUUGAGAAUGAAAUUGAAUCCGGACAAGAUGUUGCCAGGUAAUGUAGUUGGAGCAAUGUCAACGGGACAAUUGUCCAAUCUUAUGUGUGCUCCCGAUUAGUGCUUUGUCACGCUGUUGUUAUCACUUUAAUUCAGUCAUAUAUGCAUGAGACCCCCCCCCCCCUCCCCCCCCCCCCCUCUUUAGUUUAUGUUUCCCCUUUGAAAGAAAUAGUAUUGAAUUGAAAAGUGCAAUUAAUUAUCGUAAUGACUUUUAUUCGGAUGCUCCAUUAUCGACAUUAAUUUCUCCAGAGUAUCUAUUUGAUUUGUUUUAUUUUAUAAAAGCUCCUUGAAGAGUCAAGCAACUUUAUAGUAUUCACCAAGUGUUACAUGUGCUUAAUUAAUUAAAGAACAUGUUUAUCACGUGAUAAUAAAUAAGUAAUCAAUUUUGUCAGCUUUAUCAAUGAUUUCCUUUACUUGAAUAUUGCCUCUAAUUGACCCGCACAAUGACAAAGAUACUGCCUUUAAUUAUACAACGUGUAUAACGCGCGCGCGGUCACACACAUGUUGCUUUGAAAAAUUUCUUGUGCUGGAAAUGGAAUCAAAAGCACUGAAAAAUGGAAUAGCAAAUAUUUAGAAUUAAAUUGAUCAAUGGCUCCAAAAUAAAUGUAGUUCACCGUCCAUGAUUGUGAAACAAGAGUAAAGUUAGGGACUUCGAGAACAAAUAAAUAAGAGUAUGCCCGUCGCCUUUUACAUUUUAAUACAUUAUUUGGAAAAUCUAAGCCACAAAUUGUAUUGGACGGUGAAAAUUAAAAGACUGCAAAUUUGAUUAUAUCCGGAUGUACGCAUAAUAUAAAUUAUAUAUAUAUAUAUAUAUAUGUGUGUGUGUGUGUGUGUGUGCGUACACUGUUGAAAUAUUACUUACCUCUUAAACUUGACUUCUCUAUACACUCUUUAAUUUUUUACUAACUCAAGGAUUUAUUUACUCUUUGAUGUUAUAACUUAGGAUAGAAUACAAUAGAAUUUAUAAGGUGAUAUAGCAAAUGGAAUGGCUAGGGGCAUUUAUAUGAUUUCCUAAAACUAGUAGAUGGCUAUGAUUUUGCCAUCAUAAAUUUUGAUUAAUGGUUGAGAUUUAUCCUUCCAUAAUAUAAUUGUAAAUUUUAGAAUUUAUAAAUAUUUCUUAUUGCAUAAUUACUUUUUUUUUUAUUACAUGAGACUAUUGCUCAGAUUACAACUCAUAUUACAUGAGACUAUAACUGAUAUUUACAAAUCAGACAAAUACUGGGACCAACUUACAUCAAUGCUAAUGGAGUUCUGCCUAGAUUUUAACCCUCACAAAUAUUCGAGGGAUGUCUACUCCUCACUCAUGGAUAAGGGAGAAGACUACGUUCACUCAAAUUAAUUGAAAAAGAAAAUACACCCACAAUACUUUUGUGGGGGUUCGAACUGCUGCCCUCCAAGUUGGAUUGGAGGGCAGCAGCCCUGACCACUCGGGCUGAGCCGAGUGGUUUAUUGCAUAAUUACUUAUAUCAUCGAUUAUGUCAUUAUUAUUCUAUAAUUUCCUAUCAUAAAUAUUUUAUACUAUUAUUAUUAUUAUUUUUAAAAACUUAAUUGAAGGGAUAAGAUGCUUUAAUUCACAUGCACAAAGCACAAUGACAAAGAUACUAUCUUUUUUUUUUUUGAUACACUUAUAUAUUAUAAUCUUGAUAUUUUACAAUUAAAAAUUUACCGGGACUUGUCAUGAGUAAUUUUAUUACAACACAAUUCGAAUAUCAAUUCUCACUAACUUGGAAGGAAAUUUGCCCUCACUAUUAAUAUUAGAGGGAAAUCAAUUAUAUCUCAAUAUUGAGAAGCCAACUAACUCUCAUUAUAUAAGGAGCAGCGUUGGGACUUGAACCCAUGCCCUCAAGGUUGUUGAGGGCAUAGGCAUGCCAAUGGGCUACAGGCCUGUUGGCACAAAGAUACUGCCUUUAAUUACGGAAUAUGUGCAUCACAUAAUAAUAAAUAAGUGGUCAUCAAUUUUAUCAAUUUCUUGUCAUUCCCCUAUUUCUUAAUGAAUUAUGUUACUAUGUAUUUAUGUUUAUAAUUUCUUCAUUAUAGUCCUCAUUCGCUGGCCCUCUUUUUAUCAAUCCGCCAUGCUAUUGUUUUCUAUAAUAAACACCUCAAGUAAAGAAGAUGAAUGUCAAGAAUUUUAAAUUAAAGCUUGUCUUUUCUUUUUUUUCCCUUCUCUAGUGAGGGUGCUCGCUUUUUUUUAUUUUUAUUUAUGUGAACAUGCUCUUAAAUUGUGUGGUUUAAGAGAGUCGGAUUUUAAUACUUAUAGUGUGUGUAUUAAUUUUGUUUUUGAAAGAAACAAAUAUUGUCAAGUUUUCAAUCUAUAUAUCUUAAUUCUUGAUCCAAUGAGAACUCAUCGUUUCCCUCACAUUAUUAUUUUCUCUGUAAGAACUAUAUUUAGCAAUGAGUUUGUAAAUUCAGUUUACGAUUUUUUUUUAUUUCAUUUAACUAUAUUCCAUUAUAUGUAACAAUAUUUUAAUAAAAAUUAUAGAAAACAAUAAAAGGUAAUAACAAUAUAACUAGUUAAAUAAAUAUUUAUCCUUUUAUAUAAUUUUCUCUAACAAUAUAACUUUAAUUACGUAGAGUUUUAUAAGUAUUUUGAAGGGGUGUGAAAGGCAUUAGUCGAUAGCUAAACCAAAAAAGUCAAUUCCACUUAAAGUUGGACCAGCUGUUUUUUUAUAAAUAAAUUUAAUUUUAUUUGACUACAAAUAUUCUAAAUAUUAAAUUGUUUGAUAAAUUUUGAUAAUUAUAUUUAUAAAAAUCAUCAACUUUUAUCCUAUAAAUAGUAAUUUACUAAAACACUCAACAAUAACUAUAGUUUUUAAGCUGUAGCAUCUCAAUACUAAUUAGACCUUUACUUUAUCCCAUUAUCUAAUAAAAGAAUGUCAAUCAAGAUUUAGAUACUGUUUAUUAGCCAAAAUAUCUCAUACGUCCUUAGUUUUAUUUUCGUUCAAUUAUUAAUUUCUAUUCCCCUAGUUUAUUGACAAUCACAUCAUGCACUUUAAUUUAAUAAAAAUAGCCGUGCACGCAUAUUUCCAUUGUGAAAAUUCAUUUUAAGUCCAACUUAUCACAACACUGAGUGAAGUAAUUUACCAACUAUUAUAGUAUCCAUGUGGUAAAUAGAUGUUCGAAAAAAUAAGUACUCUCCAAAAGGCUUUUUCAAUAUAAAUAAAUUUAUAUUAUUUUAAUCAAAUUCUCCUCUCAUUAAAUUUAAUUACCUUCUAUUUUUCUACUAAUUCUUUCUUUUUUUUAAAAAUGAAAUAAGAAAAUAUUAUAAUAUUAAUUUAAAGAAGAAGAAAUCACUUUUCAAUAUUAAAGAAAGAAGGACAAUUUCAUUUAAAAAACCUUUCAAAACCUUUAUCAUUUAUGUAGAAUUUCAAGUAAAAAUAAAAUCUCACUCUUAUAGUUAAAAACGUCAUAUAAUGUAUCAGUUUACAAAAAAUAUAUGCUUAAACAAAAUUCUAACACAUAUAUUCAUUAGUUUAAAAUUUGCUAAUUACAUUGGUAUAGUUAAAAUUAAUCAAUGCAUGCAGUGUAUACGUGGCAUAUGGUAUUACUAAAUCGAGCUCGUGGGCAAUUUGAAUUUCUGGAAGGAUUGGACAAAUACAAUCCAUCGGAGACCAUAGCUCUCGCUGCGACGAAGGUGCGACAGAUGGACGUGCAUGCAUAAAUACACAAGUCGAGACUCAAUACACGACCCCCAUAAUAAACAGUUGCAUGCCGACAACAGAAGUAUCGUCAUCACCCACCUCACAAGGAUCAUUAACUAACUGAUCUUUUUUUUAAUAAUUCCACAUAACGAUCAUCAAAGCUUUUAAUUACACCAUAAUCUUUGGUAGGAUUAGGCAGAUUUCUGGAGUCUUGACUCUUGCCACUAUAAUUAGAUGGGAUAGACCUCCCCCAUAACAAGCCCGCUCCCAGAUAAACCCUUCGCUCGAACCAUGUUUGCGGUCAAUAAUUAAAAGCUAAGGCGAGAAUAACUUUUUAGCUCUUGUAAAAACUUGAUUUGAAAAUUUGAUUUUAUUUAAUUGGUAAAUAUAAAAUGUACAUUUUUAAGCUUACGUGCCUGAUCUCGUUGAUACGAGCGAGGAGGAGGUUUCAAGCGUGUAUUAAAUUUUUAAAAAUAUUCAGACAAUAUUUUCAAACCCCCCACAAUGAAAAAGAAUUGUUUCUCUUGUUUAUCUAAAACUUCUAUAAAUUGAGUAUGGCAUAUUGAAUUUAUUGAAUUUUACAAAACAAACCAAGCGAACUUGAUUUAUAUUUUAUCUACUAAAGUGUUAUAACAUUUAAACCACAACUACUGAAAAAAAUGAUAAUUAAAAAAAAAAUUUAAUGAUAUCUAGUAAAAUACAUAAUUCUUAAUCAACUUAACUUUCUAAACCACAGCAACAAAUACUUAUCAAAUGCUUUAACAUUGUAAAUACAACUGUGCAAGUACAAUAUCAAAUAGGACCCUUGCCCCUCUAGCAUGUAAAUCCAAUUCAUAAAUAACUUUGCUACUUCAGCUGUCCCCACGUCAGCUCCUCCUCGGCUUUGACCUGACUCAGGCACGCCUCCCUUGGAUUCAAAGGGUCAAGAUAAGCAUUAGCCGGCCACGUGUCAAUAGUCUCCACGUAUUCUUAAAAUCCAGGAAACGCGGUCCAUGUUCUGUGUCUGUUCGUCACUUCUUUCGAGUUCAUUAACGUUACUACGUAGUUACCAAUAUGCACGUCACAUUGCACCAUUUAACAUUAUAAUUUCAAUACAUAAAUAUUAAUUAUUUAAAAAAAAAUUUCUAUUAACAACCAUUUCUAAAAUUGUACCAUUAUUAGUGCUUGAAAUAUAAGAAGGGUAAGCAGAAUUUAAUAAAUUAAUGAUAAAUUUAAAAAUUAAAUUAAAAAAAUUAAAUUGUGUGUAAUAUGGUAACACCAUUAUAAGUUGUGGCACGCAGACCCUAACACUAGGACGAGGAGUUAUUAAACGCGGCGACUGGACUGUGCGCACAUGUUCAACUCUCCAGCCAUCCAGAAUAAACUAAUACUAAUUAGAAGCAAAUCAAACCCUAUUCGAUUUUGAUCUCUCCUCUGAUAUAUAUAAAUACAACCCAUAGCAGAAGCUUAAUUUACAUGUGCUAACAGAAGCUAACUAAGCCUUAUUUAUUAAUCAAUGGCUGCUCACGAUCUCUCUGUGAUCCUCCCUCGUGUUCUCAUCGUCUCUAGACGCAGCGUCCGCAAAAACAAAUUCGUAGAUUUUGUUGGUACUCACCCUCUCUCUCAAAUUUAAUGUGUUUCAUAUUAUAUGACAUUUUUUUUUUUUGCUCUUGUGAUCAUUUAGAUAAUUAAUUUUCAGGUGAAUAUCAUCUUGAUCUUAUAGUCGGUUACGGGGCAGUACCAGCUAUUGUGCCCCGAGUAAGCGGGGUGCAUAUGUUACUAGACAGCUUCGAGCCAAUUCAUGGCGUUCUUCUAUGUGAAGGAGAAGAUAUUGAUCCUUCUUUAUACGAAGCCGAAACGUCAAAUCUUUCACCAGAAGAAUUGGAAGAAAUCAGGAGAUUGCACGCAAGUGAUACAGCAAUUGAUAAAGAAAAGGAUUCAAUUGAGUUAAGGCUAGCAAAGCUUUGCCUCGAAAGAAACAUACCUUAUUUGGGAAUUUGCAGAGGGUCACAGGUCCUAAACGUUGCAUGUGGGGGUACCCUUUACCAGGACAUAGAGAAGGAAGUUUCAAGAAAGUGCCCUGAAAAUCAGAGGGUUGUGCACAUCGAUUAUGACAAUUACGAUGGGCAUAGACAUGUGGUGAAGGUCGUGAAGGAUACGCCUUUGCAUGAUUGGUUUAAGGAUUCUCUGGAAGAAGAGAAAAUGGAGAUUUGGGUUAAUAGUUAUCAUCACCAAGGUGUUAAGAGAUUGGCACAACGUUUUGUGCCUAUGGCUUUUGCACCUGAUGGUUUGAUUGAAGGGUUUUAUGAUCCUGAUGCUUAUAAUCCUGGAGAGGGUAAGUUCAUAAUGGGGCUUCAGUUUCAUCCAGAGCGAAUGCGGCGGCCUGAUUCUGAUGAAUUUGAUUAUCCAGGGUGCCCGUCCGCUUAUCAGGUUUUAUAAUUCUCACCAGUGUGGUUUUUUGAUACAAUAUUGAAAAUGUUUAUUCCAAUUUUAUUUAUUUGGUUCUUAAAUUUGUGCAGGAAUUUGUGAAAGCAGUGAUCGCUUACCAGAAGAAGCUUAAUAUUGCAACUGCUGUUCCAAAGCCUCUAAAUCUAAACAAAGAAAUGGAGAACAAAAGAAGAACAAUAGUUCGAAGUUUCUCAUUGGCAAGGAAUAUAUACAUUACUGGUAAUGGGAUGAAUCCAUCAAAAGAAUCUGAACUUCAAGCAGGGGCAGAGUUUCUUGAGGUAUCCCACAAAAUUCUUGAUUCAAAUUUUCUGAUUAUUUGUUUGCAUUAUGUGUUACAUAACCUUUUAUCUGACUUGUGAUAUAUUAUUUCUUGUUUGCAGUCAAACACAGCUCUGAGUUUGCAGCAAGAGAAUAGAUUGAAGCAAAUGGGAGCAACUAUUAGAAAUGGAAGUUCAUAUUUGGAGAGAUUGAAGUUGAACGAGGAAAGAGAAAGAUUAGCCCGGAAUGUAAUAGGGAAAAUGUCAGUGGAGCAGCUAUCUGAUCUCAUGUCUUUUUACUUUACGAUGGGCCAGAUUUGUUCAGAAGUGCUGGAAAAGAAGCUUCAUGGUAUUGUCAAUAAUGACUCCUUAUGACAGGGCAGAUACGGUCAGAAUUGCUGUGAAUUAAAGAAUGGUUUUGUCAACUAAAUUUGUUUUUUUCUUUUUUUACUCCCCUUUUGUCCAUGCUUUUGGGUUUCUUGUGUAAUCUUUGCUGUGAAUUUGAUUAGGAUUUACACUGAACUUGGUGGACAGGUUUCGGUCUUCUGAAUGUGAUUUCCCUUUUUGUGUAUGCGCUUCUAUGAGCCACUUUUUGCAAAUUGCAAAGUUGGUGAAUCAUCGAAACUGCAAAUUUCUUGUGUGGUUCAAUUCAAAUAUCAUUGAUACAGGUGCCAGGUUAUCGUCUUUUCAAUGUGAUUUCCAAUUUCGUGCGUCUUUAUGUGACCCACUUUUUGCAAUAUUGGUGGUAGUAUGAUCAAAUUCAAAAGAGUGAUUUGAUGUUUGGUUUGAUACAUAAUGACAAAGCUUUUUCAUUACUUUUCUUGACUUGCAUCUAUAUUUGUAAAUGAAGUCAAGAUAUUAUAAGUAAAUGAGGAUUUGCUUGACAACUCACUCAUACACCACAGUCAUGAAAGAUAAAGUUGAUUUAUUAGUUGACAACCUACUGCUUUUAGUGUGAAUGAGCGGUUUAUAGAGACUUAGAGAGCAAUUAAAUGGAUUAACAAACCCUAUAUAUAUUAAAAAAACACACACACACACACACAAAUGGUUGGAUUAACAAACAGCCAUGAGGGCCCCCUGCCAUUUGGUCGGUGGCACUAAGCCAUUCCCUCCACAAGGGGUGGCCAGGGUAUCCUCCCAGUGCAGUCAGAGCAGUCCCUUCCAAAAAUAACGAGGAUGAAUACAUACUAGUGCGGAUGCAGAAAAUUGAUUCAUGUGGGGGCAACAUUAUGAUAAUAAAUAAUAAUAAAUAAAUUUGAUCUCAAUAUCAAAAUGCGUAAAAAAUUGCCUCAUUGAAAGAUAAUUUUUGCAAAAAUUAAUAUGGAAUUAAGAGAAAUUUAUUUUUAAAUGAGAUUAAUCACCCAUACUCCUUUGAGUAUAAACAUUCAUUGCGAAUUAAGAAAUUCAAGUUAUAUAAUAAUAGAAAUGAUUUAGCUAAUCCUAAUAGUUCUCUCAUUGGAAAUUUAUCGGUGUUAAAAAAAUAACAUAAAAACACACACACGUGGGCUAGAUUAAUGGGCUGCUCGCUAUAGGUGUAUGGUAUGGGUCCCUGAGAGGGGCCUUGGCCCUCUAGGUUAAAAAAAAAAAUUUAAAAAGAUAAGGUACUGAAUUGAUAUUGCUCAUUUCUAUUAAAAAAAAAUUAAGAUUAAGAUUCUAUUUUAAUCUAAUCCUUCCUUAACGUUAAUUACUGAUAUGACUAAUUCCCUCAUUCAUAAUUUCUAAUGCCAUUAAAUUGAAGUUACAAUAAUCCACACCCACUUCUUUCCCAUGUUUCCAUUUUAGUUUCAAUAACUGCUUCUACCUAAACUGAGAAUUAUGGUAAAAGCAAGCAAAGGCGCUUUUCAAUCAAUUCUUACAACCACCACACGACGAACAUAGGGACCGGACCAUACCAUAGAUGAAUACAUACAUACAUACAUACAUACAUACAUACAUAUAUAUAUAUAAUGUAUGUAUGUAUGUAUUAAUCUAGUUAAUUGCAACACAUUUUUUGAUCCUACGGUGGAUGCUUUAUGAGCUGCAUCGCCAAUAAAAAACAUAAACAUGGUUUACACGCCACUUCAUCACUCGGUCAUUUAUCUCGUGAAACUGCCCGGCGUUGGCUUGACGCGGAAACUGUGAUUUGACUCUCAGACCCUUCUUGUUAAAAAAAUCUUCAACUCACGUGUAAUUUGCGAGCCUUUUAGUCACGCGAAUUGAUUGCACUUGUCUUGCAGUCCCCGGUCGCCAUGCGGUAUUAAUUUCGACGACUCUCCCUCACGCAUCAGCUUCAGAAUCCACUGAGAUCAGGCCACCACGUGUUGGCUAUGGCAACCAAAAGACUUCGGGGGGUAGGGUUUCAAGGAAAUUGAAGUUACCUAUUUCUUAAAAUGUAUUUUUUUAAUGUUACAUAAUAAGUCUACUAAUAUUACUUUCAUAAUAAGUUUGCUUUUUAUGAUGUAUCUUAAGCUCAACGCAGGUUUUGUUUUUGUUUUUUAAAAAAAUUCAUUGGCAGUUGUAUGAUCCUGCAUCAAAAGUUUGACUGCACCAGAAAACUCGAAUUCUCAAUAGGGAUGGUAAAAAAACCCCGUAGACUUGAAGUCUGAUUUUUAUCGGCUGGGUUUGAAUAUGGGUAAAAAAAUAUAAAUUAAUUUAUAAAUAAAAAUAAAGAGAAAUUUAAAUAAAAAAGAAAAACUUAAAAUAAUAUUUUUUUUAUAUUAAUACUUGUAAUUUAUUAUGUUGUGUGUACUAAUAUUUUUGUGUAUUGAAUUGUUAUUCUAUUAUAUAUUAGAUAAUUAUCUUUAAUUUAAUUUUUAUUUUAUUUAAAAAUUAUUUCAUAAUUGAUGAAAAAACCUAGGCUUGGCCCAAGUCUAGGUUUGGACAGGCUUUUGGAAGGCUUGCGAUUGUUUUCAAUAAUGUGGGCCUAAGUCUAAACUUUAAAAAGCUCGACACAAACCCACAAAUUGCCAACUCUAAUUUCCAAUCUCAUUUAUGAGGUUAUGAUUGUUCACAAAAUCUAAGAGUCUCGGUAUUGUUUUUAAAUUGAUAUUUUCUAAAACUAAACAUAAGAAUAAAAAUGAUUUUUUUUUUGCAAUUAUUAUAUUUUGAAUUGAAGUAAACAUCUAGUAUUAUUUUUUAUAUCCUACAUUUUAAAAUUGAAAAUAGUAAAAUGUAUUCAAUAGACACAAUUGAAAAUAAUAAAAAUAGUGAAUAUGUGUUUUGUAAUACCAUUUUCAAAAACAAUCUUUAUUAAACAUUUAAGUCAUAAUAAAAUGUGUUGCAUUUGUUAAUAAAUAUAAUAACUUCAAUAAUAAAAAUGUCUUGCACUUGUUAUUGUUCUUAGAUUAAAAUUAAGUCAGGUAUUAAAGGAUUAAAGUCCUCAAGCAUUGUCUCAAUUGGUAAUUUGGUAUUCAAAAAAUUAAUUAAGAUCAAAAGAAACAUUACUAUAUCAAUGGAAGCAUUUACUCUUAAGAAGAUAAAGUUCUAUAAGAAAUUCUAAUCCUCAUCCACGGCAGCCAUUUGCACCCAUGGCAAGCAUUAAAAAAAAAAAAUCAAUGAAAUGCUUAUAUAUAUAAUCAUUCUCAAGUGGGACGUCUAUAUAUUUUUUUUUAUCGAACACACUGUUAAAUUGUACAGUUUAAAAGAAUUGGUUUUUUAAUUAACUAUAAAACCGUGCAGUUUUAUAGAAUUAAAAACUAAUUCUUUUAAACCGCACGAUUUAAAAGCAUGUCCGCAUGAAAAAAGAAUGAGGAAGCCCACACUCAAAAAUGACUAGAUAUAUAUAUAUAGACAUAUACACACAGACCAACAUCACAUUGCUACUAAAACUGCUCUCGAUCAUCUCAAAUCUCAAAAUUUAACAGACAUGAUCAUGAAUUGAUGACAAUUUUGCAACUGCUUACUACAUUUUUUUACGUAUUGUAAUUUAAAAUAAUCGAUAAAAGAUUAAGAAGAUGAGGAAUAAAUAGAUAGCAAAUAAUACAUGGUCAGAUAUUUAAAAUUACAAAAGUAGAAGCCAAAGACCUUACAACAAAAUAAAACCAGAUGAAUAAAACAUAACAAAAUGACUCAAUAAUCUAUAGAGAUUUGUCUCUCUGUAAACAAAGACAAGGAAGUGUUAGAUGAACCAAAAAGUAAAAGUAAAAAAAUCGUGCUAAAGAAAUGAAAAAAUUAAAUUAAAUUAAAAGGAAAAAAAACUACAUGUAAAAGAUGAAGAAGAUGGGAGUUAAAGAAAAGAUUUUCUGGUAAGAGAGAGAGAAAAGAAGAUUAUGAGAGUGCAAGAGAGAAAAGAAGAUUGUGAGAGUGCGAGAUAACGUGCAGUGGAAGGGAGAGAAGAAGAAGAAGAGAUAAAAAUAUAAUUUUAUUUGCUGAGCUUUGGAGAAUGUAUAGUAUAUUAUUUUAUAAUUUAUUUUAUAGUUUGUUUUGUCAUUUAGAGCAUAACUUAUUGUGUUUUUAUUUUUAUUUUUAUAAUAAAUGGGCAUUUUAUUUGAAAGAUUAACUUACGGAUAGUAUUCUAAAAAGUUUGGAUAAUCCUCCGAUUAAAUUAGAAAAUCAGAGAAUUUAGUUAAUACAUGAUUAUAACAUCAAGGAAUAUAUCGAAAUUUGAAAUUCUACCUCACUGGAAAUAGUGUUUGUAUAUUUGAAAUAACCCAUUAUAACUCUGAAAAUAAUAUUUCUGGUGUAUGACAUAUACCAUUAACAAAUUGAGUAAGGUAUAAUGAAUCCAACUCCACCACCAAUGGAGACAAACUAAUCUUACUAGCAUAUAUAUCUCCCGCAGUUUAACUUGUUUUAACUUUUAUUACUAUCAAAAUAAAUUAUGUUUCUUAUAUUUUAGAGUUUGAUUUUAAGUUCGGCCCCACCGAACAUAUAUUACACCAGUACUAUUAAAAUGAAAAUAAAAACAUAGGCUACAAAAUAGUACCGAACAUGCCUUUUGAUUCAUCGGUAGACAACGCUCACAUCGAAAGUUCAUUUGACCAGCCUUUACUUCAAUAUAACAAACUUAAUGUAAACUUCCUACAUUUUCUUUUAAAAGCUCGAACCAUCAAUUUCUUGCAAAAAAUGUUACUGAAAAAAAAGAAAAAGAAAAAUUUCAAUAGUGUAUGGUCCGAAUUUUAAAAUUAAAAAAAUGCGUUCAUCAAUCAUCACGAGGAGAUAAAUAUUAAUAACGUUAUUUUUUCUUUUGUGAAUUACUUUUAAUGUUUUUAAAUAUCAAAAACAUAUUUGUUAAUUGCUCAUCGCUUCUGGGCUGAUCUACGGUCGGGUCUUUUAAUUUGCAUCCAUCUCUCUUUAUUAGUUAAGACUUGGAACACCAUAUCUUACGUUAUUACAUUCAAAGACGAAAUAGAAUUUGUGGCCCGGUCGCUACGUUAUGUAUUAUGUAUGAAACCGAGGAAAUUGAGGAUCCAAAUGAACAAGAAUUCUUGAAUGAAUGUUAUUGCAGCAGAGGAGUAAUUACUCGGUCCACGUAACAAAUGAAUUACUCUAUGAAGUCUGUAAUCUCUAGCCAAAAAGUCAAAAAUAAUGAAACAAACUUCAAUUUACCGAAACGCGUGGGGCACCCAAGACUCAUGAAAAAUGGGAACGACGCUUUGAUUCUUUAUUAGCCUUCCUCAUUGUCAAAACCUGAGCAAUUUCUGGCAACCUUGUGUUUUUCUUGUUUUACUCAUACGACAUUAGCAUGCGGCAUGUCAUGUAAUCAUUCAACCCACCGCUACAUAAUAAGCUCUUGCUGCGUCAUAAAAAUGGUUCGUAACAGAAACUGAAGUGACAAGCGGACGAAUAAAACACCGCCUUGCACAGGGAUGUGUCACAAGGUUCACCGGUAAUUAUCCGGUUUAAAGAAAGCCAACUAAUUUUAGGGAUUAAUUUUAUGUUGCUCCAUGAUUAUUAUUAAUACAUCACCAUCAACGCCCAACUUUAAUUUAAGUCAUCAUCAUCAUCAACCCAUCCCAGUCUCCUUGUCAUGUAUGGUCAAGUUCAACUGCUGACCAUUUUGACCAUACAAAGACAUUAUUGCCCUCAAUUAAAUGUUACGUCAAUGUAAGAAAAUAAACAUAAAUUUAUUUUCAAGAAAACAAAGAUUUCGUGUAAAUGGAAAAACAAAAAAAAGCAAAAUUAAUAGUUUAAUUAAUGAAAAAAUAUAUUUUAUUUUACGUAAAUAUAAGGGUAACUUUCAUUGCAUACUCAAAUAAACCGACUACUAUUCUACUCCUAGUAAUUUAAAAAUUCAUUACUCCACCUCAACGCAAUUAGUUUUCCAGUUAGACUAUCAAUAAUAAUUGAUUACAUACCUACCGUCAAUGUCAUUAAAUGUUAAUAAAAAGAUAAAUAUACCCUUGAUUUUUUUUUUAUUGGAUUGAUUUUGCAAGAGAAUAACAUAUUCCAUUAUCCAAUUGAUAUAUGGGUAAUAUCAUAGUUAUAAACUCUUCCACAAAUUAUUUUUGUACAAACUAAUAUAGCAUUAUAUAAUUGAUUAAAUGAAAAUAUAAAAUAAUAAAAUUAUAUCAUGUGGGCCAAGUGAUGUCUUAUUUCAACUACUCAUGUGAUGCUACAUCAAUUUAUAUAAGAUAGUUUGUACAUAUAUCGUUGCUCUAUAUAUAUUUCAAACACCCAAUAAUUAAAGAAAGGAUGGAGCUAUUUGAACUUCUCAAAUUCAUCUCUAAACCUAUUUUCUAAAUAAACCUUAAUAGAAUUUAUUUAUUUUCUAUAACUUUGAGAAUUUAAAAAAUAAACCUAAAUAGAAUUUCUAUACCUAAUUGUUCUUGAUUUGAUUUAGAGAGACUUAACUCAGUUAAAUUGAAGAAUGUUUGCAUCAUGCAAAGAUAAAUUUCAAUUAACCAUCCUCGGUUAUAUCCUUUUUCAAUCAUGAAAUCAAUUUUUUGGAUUGUGAUUUGUGCUAAAUAUUCUUUUUCUAAAAGAGGAGAAGAGCUUGUGUGUUCUUAAAUAUCUCUUCAAAAAGUUGAGAACCAAACUACUUACUUCAAGGAUCAACAAGUGCUUUUUGUUUUGCACAAACUCUAUGAAAUGAAAAAUCAAAAGGUAGUUCCAUCUUGUCAUGCAAGCUUUUCAUUAAAAACAUCAAAAAUAUUUUUAAUAUACCAUACAUGUAAACUUAAGAAAAUAUUUUAUUUAUAAACUUGAAUACGAUUUCUCUGAUCAACUUUUAUAUUUUAAUAUCAAAUUAAAAAGUUCACAUUAGUUUAAAUAUAUGGAUGUUAAAAUAUGAAGUAAUUUUGAUACUAACAUGUCUCUAUAAUUAAUUCCAUCAAAGGAUAUUUUAAUGAAAAAAAUGGUUGAAUAUAAAAUAAAUUGGUUGGUUAGAAAUUUUUUGUUUAAAAAAAUGUGGCUACUAAAAAAAAAUCAAUUUAGUUUUGUAAUAUUUAUUUUUCUGUAAAAAUUUAUAAGUUAUAAGAGGUAUUUAACCUAAUUAAAUUAAUCAAUUGAGAGGUAUGAAGGACUUUUAUUCUAGUAGUAGAAAAAUUAAUAGGUUGGGUGUGUAUACAGCUAUACUCUAUACAUACAAAACAAAUGGGCGUGUAUUGACAUAUUUCAGAAUAUUUGGGUGUAGAUGGAAAUGAACGCCGUCGGUUGCCCACAAUUGAUUUCUAUUCUGGCCGUUAAUCCCAACCGUCCAAUUUCAGUCUUUAAAUCCAAAUCAAAAUGCAUGUCUGUUAGUUACAAAUUAAUGUAACAUAUCCCCAGCCGAUAUAAUAGUUUAAUGUUUGAAAGGAUUAGUUUCUCAUAAAAAGAUAAUAAUAAUAAUAAAGUUACACUUCAAUUGUUUUCUUUAAAGUGGUUGAUUGAGUUACUUUUAAAUUAUUUUAUUUAAUUGGUCAUUCGAGUUAGAAUUUCAAAGAAAAUAAAAUAAUAAAUUCUUUAAUUCAGAUUUUGUCCACUUUUCAACUAUUUUAAGAAGAAAAAAAAUUCUUUUUUAAUUGUGCAUAAAAAUUUCGUUGGAACAGAGAUACUGUACAUUUUUGAACUCACACAUGUUAGUUCAAUUAAAUUGCUUUCUCAAGUAGAAGUGAGUAGUGAUGUUAAUAAACAAUAGCGGUUUUUUACAAAGUAAUUUAUAAAAAUGGGCGGGCCGUGGACUAUUCUCUCCGUUUCCAAAACCAAACAUAAUCAGAAAAUGAAAGCUCUCUAAAACCAAGCCUUGAGUCAACAAUAAACUAUGAAAUUUCAAGACUUUUAUUAAUUUCCUUGCAUCUUCUUCUUCACAUAAAUAUCUUUCAUUUUUAUAUCACCAAAACAGAUUGGAACCCAUCAGCUAAUUCACAGUUCAGUUUCCUUAUAGUCUCUGCUUAAUUUCACCGGAAAAUGGGUUUCCAGUUUUUGUUGCCAGGACUGCCUUUAAUUUCUCUUCUGUGUUUCCUAUCAGUACUAGUUGUUGACAAGAUUCAACCAUCUUUAGCCAAUCCUGACUUGUGCAGGAUUCCAUUCGGCUGUGGGAAGAUAAACGCCGGUUUUCCCUUCUGGGGAAGUGGCCGCCCUAAGUUUUGCGGCCACCCUAGCUUUGAGCUCAAGUGUGAGAAUGAAAUGCCUACCAUGAAGCUUGCAGAUGUAACAUACCGUGUGUUAAAUGUCAAUCCGAAAGAACAAGUCGUCAAGCUUGCAAGACAGGAAUACUUUGAAGGGUUAUGUCCGCAGAAUAAUACCACCAUCGAUACAUCACUUUUUGACAUCUCAGGUGGGUACGAGAUGUUUAACCUAAUUUAUAGUUGCCCGAUGUUUCCCGGAAGUUUCAUUUGCAAUAUGAAGGAUGUCAACAAUUACCUGGAUGGCUUCGUACAAUUCACACGCGAUAUUGUGCUUCGCCCGGAUUGUAAUACCACUGUUACUGUUCCGUUUUCUAAAGCUUUGUUGGCAGCCAAAAGGGGUAAAUUUAUCCUACAAAGAGCCCUGGAAGAAGGAUUUGAGAUGAAGUGGAAGCUGUUCGGUUGUGAGGGGAGUUGCAGCAGUUGUGGUUUUGAUUUUUUAAAUCAUAGAGGAAUUUGCUACUGCUCCGGUGGCCAGCUAAAUAGCUCAUCCUCUGGAUGUUCAGCUCCAUCAGCCGCCUCAAAUUCAGAAGGUACGCUAGCUUGCUCCUCAGCUUUUAGUUGUUAUGCAAAAAUCAGUACCAAACAUCAACUAAUUCAAUUACAUUAGCUAGUAGAUGUUCGGCAAUCGGAAAUAUUAAAAAAUCAUGCGUUUGAUGAAAUGCAUACAUCAGAAAAUAUUAGAACUUGUUUGUAUAGAGAAUAAGUUAGGCCGUUCUUUUCGAUCGAUGUCACUGUUAAUACGCCCAACAAUAAACAUCUUCGCAUACAUAUAUAGCUUAAAAUGCAAUUCGUAGCAGCAGCGGCUCCAUGAUUCUGCAAUUUGUAGAAGAACUAUAAAUAUAUAAUUUUUGAAAAAUUCAUUAAUUGGCAUGAAAUAUAAAAACAAAAUUGUAGUUAAUGCGCCUUGAAUUGGCCACCCAACCCAUGACCCGCCACCUUGAUUCUUCGCCCACGCCGUGCUGGCGUUACACGAUUUGACGGGCAAAGUUGGGAUUUUAAUCUUACAUGUCGUCGUUUGAUAGCGUUAGAUAUCGGCGUUUUGACUUUUGAUGGUCUAACUUUUCGAAGUUACUGGGGGUUUAAUUGUCUAUUUACGAAAACCUUUAUUCUUUUCUGACAAAAUUAAUUACAACGUGGAUUAGAUUGCAAAAAACUCAUCCCAAGGUUAAUUACUAGCUCUGACACUUCCUAAUUAUCAAUAAUAAUAGUAAGUACGACAGUUAUCGACAAAGUUUCGUUCAAGGGUUAAACAAGAAGUUAGCAGAUUAGAAGAGGAUUCUAAUUAUUAAUGAUUCCAGCCUUUGUUUUUUUUUUUUUUUUUUUUGGUUUCAAAAUAGAAUUUCCAAGUUUUAAUAAUAGACAAGUUAGAAGUCCAUUCAUUAAUGAUAUUAAUUUAGACUCGCGCAGUUUUUCGAAACCCUGAAUAGCAGCAUCUCUAGUCUAGUCACUUCUAUUUGCAAAUUUGAAAAUUGCCACAAUGAGACAAGCAAUGGAAUCAAAUUACUCCAUUUUUUUUAGUCUGUAAUUAAUCUUUAAUUAAGUACUCUUCUUCCUCUGAGUAUAGUGCCCGAAAGAUAUGCAGCCUCGUCAUCCUCUUCUUCAACCACAUUCUCUCAUCUUUCUUCUGAUAAUCCUUUCUAUCAUUUUAAUCAACACUCAAACGUCUUUGUGUGCCGAUGAGGAUAUCGAUCUGCAUUGGGGUUUAGACAGUGAUCAAUGCAAGAUAUGCAUAAAAUCAGGAGGAAAAUGCAGAUUUGUAGAGAGUAAAUUCGUUUGCUUUUGCCAUAACGAGCUUAGUGUAAUGAAAUGUUCAUCAGAGCCAAGUAAGUCUUCUCUUCUAUUACUGAUCCUCUAGCCACUACUUUUUAGGCUCUUAUCCUUCAUUUCAGAUGGUACUGCUAUGGCUUUUUGAAGUCACCACUGUUGUGAAAUGGACUAAGUAAACGUAGAUAAUUAUUUGAUAAUUAUGACUUUUAAUUUGAACUUUUCAUUAAAAAAAUAUGAUAUGCACCCUCCACAAUGUAAAUUUUUGGGGACAACUUUUUCAUUAAUUCAAAUUUUAAGGAUACCCAUUAAAAUAUCUCAAACUUUUGUUUGCUGUAGGGUUGAGAUAGGAUAAAACUGGGAAAUUUACAAAAAUAAUCAUAAAAUUUUUGUUAUUUUCACAAUUAAUCCUCUCAAUUUUUUUCUAUCAACAUUAGCCAAACACAUGAUUUUCUCCCCAAAUUAUCCUUCUGAACUUGAUCGAGAGUUUCGGAACUGCGAGUCGUGAGUGAAUCUGACGACAGACUGCCUGUCGCACGAAGCUUGAUGCGACAGAUUGCAUGUCGCACCAAAACUUAGAGCGACAGGCGCCUGUCGCACGAAGCUUGGUGCGACAGAUUGCAUGUCGCACCAAAACUUAGAGCGACAGGCGCCUGUCGCACGAAGCUUGGUGCGACAGGCAAUUUUGGACAUACAUUUUCCAGGCAAUCAUCAUCGACGAAAGUUAAAAUUGUUGACUAUUCAAUCACCAUUUCCAUUUUCCAGGUUCUCCGAGAGACUUCUCCAACGCAAGACUUUAGUUACCCAAAAAACAUUAAAAUUAUAUAUAUAUCUACACAAGACUUACAAAUUAAAUCGCUCUUCAAAGAAAGAACAUUCAUAUCCUAUACAUAUAUAUACACUUAAUUUCCAAAUUCCAGAAAUUUCAAGAACUCAUCAUGAGUUGAGUAUAAAUACAUAACCAUGAGAUAAGCUUAAGACAUACAUAGCAAAAGAAAUAAUUGAAAGCGAGCUUUCUUACAAGUUAUAUAAUAUAAUUUAAACGAGAAACUAGAGUUGAACAAAAAUGUCUCUCCUUCCUGUUGGGAUAUCAUCUCUCGUCCAUCCAUAUGGAGGCAUAGACACCUAGAUGGACUGGAAAGAAACUCCACAUGCCCACGUAUUCGAGAUCGAUCUUCCAGGGCUUGCAAAAGAGGAUGUGAUUCUUCAAGUUCAUGGAGAUAGGAUACUUCACAUAAGUGCUGAGAGGAAAAAGGAGCCUGAGGACAAGGGCGACAAGUGGCACUGCCGGGAGAGGCCACACGGCGGCAGCUUCACCAGGUAGUUUCGUUUGCCUGAUGAUGUUAAGGUCGAUGAGAUUAGGGCUUCAAUGCGUGACGGGGUACUAACUGUCACUGUGCCUAUCAAGGACGAUGAGUUGACGAAAAAGAAGAAUAGUAAGCACAAGAAGACAACAUCAUCGGUUUCAGUUGAAAUUGCUGGGGAUGAUGGUGAUGCUCCUGCGCGAUCUCAUGCUCCCAAACGACUCGGCCGUUUCGUCUGCUGCAAAGCUUAAUUAAUUAAUUGAAUGGUUUGUGUCUGCUGCAAAGAGAUAAGGGAGGGGUAUUUUGGUCUCAAAUGUUGUUUUAUGGCUAAUGUUGAUAGAAAUAUUUUUGGGGGGUUAAGAUGAAAAAAAGUAAAAAUUUUUUGGUUAUUACUGUAAAUUUCCCGAUAAAACUGGCUCUCUUAUCUUUAUUUUUCAUGAAAUAACUGCAGAAAAAAAUUAACUUAGAAGCUUCCAGUGCACAUUUUAGCAACCGUACUUUGUGUAAGCGUAGUUGCUGGAUAGUUGCUAGAUAGCAGUACAAAACGGAGCCUUGUGAGCUAGGUCUGUUUGGCAAUUCAUAAUUCUCUCUUUUAUUUUUAUUUUUUUAUUUUUUCCCCCUAAGUCGGCUUUGACCUAUGAGCUGAUCUAGAAUAUGUCAUCAUCAGCCUACCGUGCUAACCUAACCUAGUAACCAUUUAAUAAUUCAUUUGAUGGGAAUUGUUUUUUUUUUCUUUGUAAGUUUUAAAAUAUUAAACAUAGGCAUCAUUUGCUGACUUUAGUUUCGUUCCAAUGCAACAUGUGAGUUCAGGUAUUCAAUAUUCAACUUCAAACUAUGCCUUCUAAUUUUCAAAUUUCCAAAGCCCAUGGGAAAAUAACCAAACGCGCUUCAUACUCGUUUAGGCCAGCGAAUAUCAGCAUUUGCAGCACGUUCCUUGGAGAUCAAAGCUCCAGCCCACUUUCUUUCCACAGAAGGUUCCCCCCAUUUUCAUCACCCCCACUUCGUCAAAGUGAAAAAAAAAAUAAUUUAGUAUCACAGAGAAUGAGAAAUUAAAACCAAUUCGUUUCUUCUAAAUUUUAUAUCUAAUUGCUUGCUCUUUCAAAAUGGGACUCCGACUCCAUCUCCAUCCCCAUCUCCAUCUUGGUCCAAGCAUGAUCGGCUUGUUUUUCUUCGUCAUAAAUAUCAUUUUCGUCCGUGUUCCAACUCCUGUGUCCGCCGAUUAUGAGGAGCAUAAAAACUGCAGCGCCCCGUUUCGUUGUGCUAACAGAGACGAUAUUGGUUAUCCCUUCUGGGGAGGAAAUCGUCCAGAAUAUUGUGGCUACCCGGGAUUUGAGUUGAAUUGCGAGGAAGAUGUUCCUGAGAUUAACAUCUUAAGCAUUACUUACAAAGUCCUGAACUUCGAUAAAGCAACGCGGAUAAUCACUGUUGCUAGAGAAGAUUACUGGGACCAAAACUGUCCAUCAAACUUGGUCGAUACUGCUCUAAAUUUCUCUCUUUUUGAUUAUGCUUCCGCCACAGACAACUUGACUCUGUACUACAGCUGCCCCCCCAACUUUAUGAAUGGUAUGUUUGUGCCGUCGUUGCUGGAUCCCUAUAAGUUUCGUUGCAACUCGGAUGAAUCAAACGCUGGCGAUAACUACUAUUACUCAUGGGAUGUCGAUAGUAUCUUCAAUAAGACCUUCACUGAGACCGUGAAAGCUUACUUCGGUAGUUGUGCGAACAGAGUUCUGCUGCCUCUGCAGCAACCAACAGUUGAGUCUUUGGUGAAAAAUCCGGCUUCGGAAAAUCUGGCUAGAGCUCGUCGGGAAGGUUUUGGGCUGCAAUGGUUUGCAAAUAAUAAUCUCUGCGAAAAGUGUGAACAAUCAAAAGGAGAGUGUGGGUAUUCUGCUAGGACUGGUCAAUUCAAUUGUUAUUGCCCUGAUAAAGCUUAUCCCGAUUCCUGUCCACCCCAAGAAGGUACGUCCCUUUUCCUGAUUGUUCUGUUAGCAUCUCAGUAAGGAUUCCGUCCAUUAGGUUCAAGGUUAGUUUUCGUAAGAGUGUUGGGCUGUUGUUCAGAGUCCACUUAGGGUCGAGUUCGAUGCUCUUUCUCCCCGGAACAGAGACCCGUAAAUUUAGACGAUCACAGAAAUUUGAAUCUUGAAACAGGUCUCUUCAUCCAACAACAAUAGAUUCGAGUUUUCUUCAUCCAACACAAUCACAUAAUAAGAGUCCACGCUUAUAGGGUAGAGUUGAUAGGACCUAUGAAAUCGAAUCACUAGUCCUGAAUUUAGUCCUUAAUUGAAGCAGAGACUCAGAGUACGUAAUUAACCACAAGCCAUUAGAAGCUCUGUUGUUCAAGGUUUUAUUAACCUAACCGCAUAGAGAAACCUUCUUGCUUUUUCUUCAAAGCGUUGACAUAUUCAACCCUUCAUCUUCAAAUUCGAUUGCCAAAAGGUUUUUUUUUUUUUUUUUUUUUUUUUAAAUUUAAUUUCCUUUCCUUAUUAGUUUUGCCUUAGUCGCUUCAAUCUUCAUGGGCUACAACAACUCCGGUAAUUUAUUCCAAGUGUGGGGCCUACCUUUGAGAUUACUCUGAAGUCAGACGUAUUUUAAUUCGGACGCGUUACACGUAGAUCUUGUGCUCGCGUAUGACUGGCAUCUAGAAACAGUCAAACAAGUACUGCUACAAAUGUGUUUGACGGCAAUUAAUUAACCAGAAGAAAAUUGUUUCUUUGAUUUCCAGGGAUUAGGUUUGUGUAGUUAUGUUAGUGGCCGAUUGUCACAUUACAAUGACUUGCUUUGUUGACUAAAUUCAAGAUUGGGGUCGAGGGGUAGUAUUAUAAUUACUUGUGAAAACAAUGGUAGUUAAGCCGCCGGUAACCUAUCGCAUACCAAGUAUUAUCUAAAAAUAUAAUUUCCUUUAAUUUUUAUGAUUUUAAAUCCUUUGUUAAGGUUCCCAAAAACCUCUUUAUGGUGUUAGUUGGCAUCUCCUCCUUCUCUUAACCAUAAGGUGGGGCGUUUGAGUCUAUCAAAUGGUUAUGAGAGUUUUUUCUUUGAAUUCCUAUCCUGAACUUUGAUUGAAAAUAUACAUUAUGUGUUGGGCUUUAAUGGCAUUGUAUAUAAUGUUAAAAAAAAUUAUAAAUUUGAGCUUGUUUGAACUUUUAAAAGAUCUCUGGGCCAUGAGUAUAUGACUAAAAUUUAAUUAAAUUUACAUUAUCAUCUAAUAACUAAAAAUGACCUCUUAUAUUUUGUUCAAAAAAAAAAAAACCUCAUAUAAGAAGAAAAUCUUGGGCCCUUUUUUAAAAUGCAGUUUUUUCCUUUUUCUUUUUUUUUUUGGGCACUUAAAAGGAUUAUAUAGAAAUCAUUACUUCUUGUUCUAAAUACUAAUACAGGAGAAACUCUAAAUAUUUUCAAUGCAUACACAAUCUUCACUCGAAUUUUUGCUACAUUCGCUCUUUCAUGGCAAAAGGUGUACAUUAGGAGUGUCCAAUACUUACUUCUAUUGUAGACGCCUUAAAACGCACAACUAUUUUAGGACAAGAAACUAAGAAGUGAUGAGUUCUUAAAAACUGGAAAUUUGAUGUGGCUUAUAAGUAUCCAACUAGAGAUUCAAUUUCUUGUUUAUCCAUUUAUGAACGCGAACUGACAUUUCUGGAUCCCAUGAUUAUUGCAGGGAAAAAUGGGUUCUCAACCGGAGCAGGUAAUAUUUCACUGCAAAAUUAAUAACUAAUUAAAUAUUUUAACCAAAAAUUAGCAAUACAGAAACUCUCUAAGCUACUUCAUUCUCACUCCUCAGGAAUUGGUAUAGCACUUGGAUCCGCUGCUGCUGUUAUUCUGGGACUCAUUUUCUUUUUCAUUAUACGAAGGAGAAGGAAAACUGCAGCCUAUGCUAAAAGCAGAGACCUCAAAACACCUCCUUCAAGUGCAAGCGGAGCUACAGCUACAACAUCAGCAGCAACAACAACAACUAAUUCCUCGCAAAGCAUCCCUUCUUAUCCCUACUCAAUAACUGAUCUUGAAAGGGGAAGCUCUUACUUUGGAGCUAAAGUCUUCAGCUGUUCUGAACUCGAAGAAGCUACCGACAAUUUCAACUCAUCUAAGCAACUCGGAGAUGGAGGCUUUGGAGCAGUUUAUCUCGGUAAGAAAAUGCAUCAUUGUAGCAGAAGUUGUAUGCUUGACUUAAUAUAUUAAUGUCGAGCACUUACCUAACAGCUUAAGCUUUAAUCAGGUAUCCUCAGGGAUGGCCGCAUAGUUGCAGUAAAGCGGUUAUACGAGAACAAUUUCAAGCGUAUUGAGCAAUUCAUGACUGAAGUUGAGAUUCUUACAAAGUUGCAGCAUCCAAACCUUGUGAAAUUAUACGGAUGCACAUCAAGACAAAGCCGGGAGCUGCUCCUGGUUUAUGAGUACAUUCCCAAUGGAACAGUAGCAGAUCAUCUUCACAACAGGCAGCCGAACUCUUGCUUGCUCCCUUGGCCUGUUCGUUUGAGCAUUGCCAUUGAAACAGCUGAUGCACUUGCUUACCUACAUGCUUCAGAUGUCAUUCACCGCGAUGUCAAAUCCAACAACAUUCUCUUGGACAACAAUUUCCGUGUAAAGGUUGCAGAUUUUGGGCUAUCAAGAUUGUUUCCAACUGAUGUUACACAUGUCUCCACAGCUCCACAGGGGACCCCUGGCUACGUUGAUCCUGAUUAUUUCCAGUGCUACAAGCUCACUGACAAGAGUGACGUGUACAGCUUUGGGGUUGUUCUAAUUGAGCUCAUCUCAGGGUUACAAGCUGUGGACACUAGUAGGCACCGGCAUGAUAUAAACUUGUCUAACAUGGCAAUUAACAAGAUUCAGAAUGGCGCAUUGAACGAGCUUGUUGAUCCAUCUCUGGGGUUUGAAAAGGAUUAUGCAGUGAGAAACAUGGUGACUUCAGUGGCAGAAUUGGCUUUCAGGUGCGUGCAACAAGACAGAGACAUGAGGCCUACAAUGAAAGAAGUGUUGGAGAUUUUGAGGGAGACCAAGGAUUCAAAUCUUGGAACGUCAAAGGCCAAGGUGGUGGAUAUUAGGAUAGCGGAUGAUGCUGCGCUUUUGAAGAAAGAUUCUCCUUCGCUGUCACCAGAUGACUCUGGGACUGAUAAAUGGGUUAGCAGCUCCAAUCCAUCCAGUUCCUUCUAGAGUGUUUCAUCAGAUUUCAGAUUCACUUGUCCUGUUUACGCAUAAAUUCAGAGUUAAUUUGCUCUUGCACUUGACUAUAUUCAGUUAUUAAUACCAGAAAUAUUGUCCAAAGAUGCAAGCUAGGCAAUGUACAUAGUACAUAGAAAUUCGCUAGUAUUUAUUUGUAUCAGGUUUCAAGCUUUUUGGUUAUAAGGUUUUGUAAAGUGGCUGAUCCUACAUAUUUGUUGUGCCUUCACACGUAUGCUUUGAAUGUUGGAUGAUAUUUUUUAAUCAAUUUCUGAUUUUCCUAUAACAAAUUUUCAGUUUCUUACAAAAUGUAAAAAUAGCUUUUGAUUCCCCCCCCCCCCCCCCCCCCCCCUCUCUUGGCUCCUGAAUGGCUGGCGAUAAAAAGUUGGUCAACUAUAAACCCUGGGAAGUACAAGUACAUGAAAAAUCUUAUAUAUGAUUUUCCUUUUUUAAUUUUUAUUGUUGUCACAGGUGAAGAUAAUGUCAUUGUGAUAUUUGCAGAGAUUAAAAUGAGCUUGGUCCGGAGGAAGAGGAUUCCGCCGUUGAACUAAGUUGGUUACAUGGCAUUUGCUCAAAUUUGGUGCUGAAAUUUGAGAGAUUUAUCUGAAUGCGGCAGCUAUCAACAUUCGUGGGUUCAUAAGCCCAAUUAAUUUUUUUAGAUAAGUAGGCGGAGGUUAUUGUGGCCUCGUUCUCCUUUUGUCUAUAGGCCCACAAUGUCAGGGAAUAAAGUUUAUUAGAAAAAAUCACUUUUGAGGGGCAAGGAUAAGCAAAGCCUAAUUUAAUUUUUUUAGCCAUUAAUCACUUUCAAGAUGACUAACUAAAUAAACAUCAUUUCUAAAUUUAUAUUUUAGCUAUCAAUCACUUUCAAGUUGACUAACUAAAUAAUCAUCGUUUUUAAUUUUAUAUUUAAGUCCUAAAUCUUUUAGAAGUGUUCAAUUGUUAACAUUUUUUUAGUGCCUCUAAUAAGAGAUGGUAAUUUUUUUUUUGUGAUGGGAUCUUAUGGAAUCUUGUCCCAUUUGGGACGAAAUUGAAACAUAUUUUUAUAUUACAAAUUAAAAUGGGUCAGAACAAUAACAAAAAAUAAGUCUUGCCUUUAUUUGUGGAAAUGGAGGAGGACCAACUAAAAGAUCUUGUCCGUCAUGUAUAUCCCAUUAAUAAUAUAAUUUUAAAGCUAUUCUAAAUUUUUAAUUAUUUCAUACUUUUAACUUAAGUAAUGUUCAAAGUGGAAACUAAAUGCUAAAAUUAAAUAAUAAAAAUAAUACAAUUAGAAAGUGAAUUGUCAGCCAAAAGCCACAAUUAAAAUUAAUUUUUUUAUGGUCAAAAUAUAAGUUGGUUACUCUUUAAUUCUAUAAUUUUUGAAGUAUAAGUCUUAAUAUUAUUGUGCAAUGGAAGCAAAUAGACAAUUAAAAAAUAUUAGUAUAAAAUUGUAUUCGAAAAUACAUAUAAUAAAAAUAAAACUAUUAUUUGAUUUUUCUACUUUGUAUUUAUUCAAAAUUUUUGUUAUAUGGAAUUAUGGUGAUCCUUAAAAUAAAUUUUUGUAUUUAUUUAUUUAUUUUUGGGACUGUUCAAGAUAAUGGGAUGAGACGGGAUUAGAACAAAUUUUUCUCUCAAAACAAUAAAGUGACGAGAAUUAAAUAUUAUUUUAUCCUACUUGUAUAGCCGAGACAGAACUAAAAUUAGUAAAUCCUAUUCUAUCUUAUCCCAUUGCCAACCCUGCCUUUGAUAAGUAGUGGACUUUCAUUGAAAAUACAAAAAUAUUCAUGUCUAAUGUAUUUUUCCGCCCAUUUAAAAUAAUCCCAAGAAAGAAAACCAAACACACUCAUCCAAAUCAACAAUUUGUACACACAAAUGACAACCCCCCUUUCAUUUGUCUCCACAUUUCAUCUAAUUAUUAACUACACCACCAACAUUUUUACUUUUUGUUCGCACUUCAAACACCUCCGAUACCUACUAAUACUAUUUCCUUUCAAAAAUGAAACAGAAGAGACAAUGAUAGCAAAUGAUCCAAACCCGCCACGUGGCACCCCACAGCGUCCACAACUCGACUCCCCUUCAAAAUUAAAUUCCAUUAUUGACUGUUAAAAACACAAAAACAAAACAAAAGAAUCAAACAAACAAAUGUAAAACGCUGCGUCUCUAAUCUCUCACUCCACUCUCAGAUCUCUCUCUUUCAUUUAAUUUGUGUUCUUUUUUUCUCAGAAACUUUCGAUUUUUCGUUAUGGCAACUCUUCAAAAAGUCAAGCUUUUAGCGACCCAGUGCGCCGUCGCCGGCAGCCCGACGAGGAGCCCGACCGCGAGCCCCGUCAUCCACCUCCGCCGCCGCAAGACACUCCGAAUGCUACUCAAUCGUCGCCGAUUUACUCGCCAAGACGACGACAAUUUGGAGCGGGAAGUCGCCGAUGAGUUACCGGAGAUCAAGAACAAGAAGAUUAGAGCCAAGUUGAAGGACUUGUUCGUCUCGUCGCCGCCGUUUGAGGAGAGAGACUCGGAGAGUAGUGGCAGUGGAGAUAGACAAGGGCUUUUACCGGUUACCGGAACUGUGGGUAGCGGUUCAGCUACGAGGCGAGGCUCGGCCGGUUCGCUUCGACCGGUUUCGGCUACUUUUCGGUAUAGACUUUUGAGAAGAGCUUGGCGACCCAUGCUUGUUACCAUCCCAGAGUAAUUUGUAGAAAUAAAUUAAAAUUAAAGUUGUGAAAAAGAAUGUAUGGAUAAAUUAAAAUUUAGUUUGAUUUUUUUAUUUAGUUUUUGGGUAAAUGAAUAAAGUUUUGGAUGAAGAAAUUAUUAAUUUUGUUUGCUAAAAAAGAAUAUUUGGGCAAUAUUUAUAUGUACUACAAAUUAGACUAGAUAUUUUUGUAACAAUUUGGUCUCGAACUUUAAUCGUAUCAAUGCUUAACGAAGAUGUAUAGUGUAUUUUAGGGUAGAUGACACAAAGAUGUGUACGGGCUUAUUUUAGCAAAAUUUUAAGAUUACUAUAGUAUUUAUUUUGUGGAAAUACUACUUUAUUUUAGAUUUAAUGGUUGAGUUAUGUGAAUAAUAAUAAUAAUAAUAAUAUUGUGGGUGGGGGCAAGAAUAUUGAAGGUGUUAUAGAUCAUGGAGGCAGGGCCAAGACAAAGAAUCGAGGAAAUUAAUAAUUUCUUAAUAUAAAGCCUGUCGAGUGUCGAUUUUGCAGCUACCAUGUGUUAAAUGUUCAGUAAUGCAAAACAAGUUAGUGUACUUUGUACAUACUGCUACAGUAGGACCCAUGAUGAAUGAUUUUUUGGGAAGCAUAUGAUAUGAUCAACUGGUCACACUUGGCAAAGUUUUGGGGGGCUCAAUAUUAUGAUGUUGAGCACCAAAUCUUGAUGUGUAAUCAUGGUUGUUAUAAUUCUGUUUACGGUAUGGGUCUUUCUGUAUUCCAAUAGUUUCCUGAAAUUAAGGGUGCUUUAAUCUUUGGGAAGAUGAAGCAUCCCACUUGGGGGGAUCUUUGAAUUUUUUUUUUUUUUAAUAAUUUUGAUUUAUAGCUUUAGUAUGGUGCAAGUAAAGGGUAUGUUUCCUUUUGGGUAUGUAGGUUGUUCCAAUUGCGUGACUUGCCCAUUCAAAAAGUUUAUUGUUGCUACUUUAUUUUUUUCUUUUUCAUUCUGCAUUAAAAAAUAAAAAUAAAACGCGUUUUAUGGGUCAAAUUUAAGUCAAUGGGCAGGCUCGGAUCAAAAUUUCAGAUUGAUUGGGACAACAAACUUCUCCACUCACCCGAAACACGCAGGUUAAGUAUGCACUGAAUGUGAAGGAUUGAAUUCACAGACCCUUUCCAAAUUCCAACGGGUUUAGAUAGUGACAUGGUGACUUGAUAACAUCGAAGUCUUGGUCAAUUCUUCUGUAUCGGCGGCUAUGCACAAGAAUAACAACCAAGUACAGCUGCAGAAUUUUCCCCGUGCCAGGUUCUUCUUUGCCUUUUUGGAAAAUGAAAAAUUUAUUCGACGGGGAAGAGAAGAGAGAAUAUUGUAUUAUACUAAAGACUUAAAGCACUUAAGCAUGCCCCGUGUUUAUUGUUUGCAUUGUCGCUCUGCUUUGGAUCUGCACUCCCAACAUUUUCAUGAUGCAAUUGCAAUCCUUUAAUUUAAAGCGAAAUGCUCAACUCAACGUACAUAAUACAACACACACAUUUCCAAUUUCCAAAUCUCUCUUGACCCCCUUUUUUUUUUUAAUCCUAAAAUUCUGUACCGUACGUUCCUAGCUGCCGACGUAGUUAAAAAUUCCCAAGUACGCAUGGUGACCUUUGACAAUGUCUUCACGGCAGAAUCUCAUGGGCUCUCUCUCUUUCCUCUUCAUUAAUUAUUAUUAUUUUUUCUUAGAUCCUCAAUGGCUUCUUCCAAAGCCAUCUUGGUUUGUCUUGGUAACUCAUUGUUGCUUAUCAGAAACCUUGUUAGCUCGUCGGUAAUCGAACUCCCAUCCAUAGCCAAAAUCCUACAUAUGGUUUUGCAAGACGUGAUAAUGUAUGUGAGAAAUGAAAUCAUAGCCUUCCUAAGCUAGUCUUCAACAAUACUAUUAUUUACAAAGCUUUGUCUAUACCCCGUGUUAAUUUAAUGUGACUUGUUAUUUCGUGAUUCAUGUGUUUUUAAAAUGGGUAAAUUUGUCAUAAAAACACCCUAGGGGAUUAGGCAUUGAUUCCCGGCUGGUGCUUGUUUUUCUAAGAACGACAUGAAACAUGAAUUUAUAGCUAAAAUGCACGCAUCAAUCCUGCAUGUUGCCGAAAUUAAGUUCAUGUCCACUUUAAUAAAAAAGUCAGCUCACUGUUAAUGUCACUAAGAUUAAAUUAAGCUAUUCGAUAAUUUCUCUGACUCUGCAGCCUCAUUGAUUACGUUUGUUAGAAUCCAAAUUAAUUAAAAUACUAGAAAUCCAAUCUUACCCAUUGAGUUUGCAAGCAAUGUUUGACUCCACGAAUUGUACGGUGCUUCUUAGACUCAAACUCUCACAAAGCCAGCAACAUUUCUGCAAAUAGUAUUUCUGAAAUUGGUUCUCCGCCAUGCAAAAUUCAGAAUCAAAUUGUAUUAUUUUGGUCACAAUUCUCUUGUUCAGCUUCAUCUGCCGUCUAAUCUUCGAUUCCUGCGCUUGCUUCCUCUCUUCUUCAUUGCCGUAAUAUAUAGCCGAUUUCAAGUGUGUACUUAAACCAAAAUUCUGAAAAAAAAGAAAAGAAAAGAGAAAGAGAGAGAGAUGAAUAAUCACCAUUAUGACGAUUUAUAUGUACAUUAAUCUAUUAACGUGAAAUCCUAAAAUGGAAACUGAAUAGAUAGAUCAUUAAUUACAAGGUAAUUUCUAUUAGUGGGAUCAUGAGUUUCCCAGAAAAUAUCACAGAGUGAUUUGUAUGAUAUUGUUUGCUUAUCGUAAAAGACUUUUACGGCUUCAGUGUGGCCUGUUAUUCCUUCACAAACCUGUAAUAAUAAUUUAGAAAAAUAUAUCAACAAAUAUGUAUUCUGAAUUGGGUUUAAAGAGUUUUUGGCAUUCUUUAACAUUUUUUUUUUUUAAAUUUUACCUCUCUAUAUGUAGGUUUUUUGAGGGUGCCUCCGCAAUAACCUGUAGCAGUUCUCAUGACUCCAUUUAAGCGUCCAAAUGCUGAUUCAAGAUCCAAAAAAUUACCUGCAAGAACCCACCCAAAUUAAUCUAAAUUAAAACCAAAAUGAAACAAAAAUAAAACACUCGCGAUGAAGAGUAAGUAGACCUCCUGCAAAUACUGCUUCACUGAAGAAAUUUGUUGGUUCAGAGACCGAAACUUGUGAAGUUAAAUUAUCGGAUUGAGGAAGUAAUUUGUACAUGGUGUUGAAAUCAGUAUUGAAUUACGAAAAAGAGUUGCAUGAGCUAAUGGGGUUACAGCUUCGUCAAUUGAUUCGCAUAUAUAUAAUAUUUAUAAACUUGAAACAUUGAGAUAUAAUAUUGUUUUUGCAUUUUUUUUUCUUUCAAUAAAGCGUCUGAAUUCGUUUAGAGUUUCCACAUUAGCUGUACAUGUAUAUGUUUGAAUAUUUUAUGAGGGGAGGAGAUCGAAUGCGAUAGGUUGACUUUCAAGAUUUAUGAAUGAAAAAAAGACUAAAUAACAAAUGUAAGUUUUUUGUUUUUUUUUUAACUUCUCUCUCAUUCACAUGAAUUUUUUAAAGAUUUUAUAUCUCAUGUCUAUGAGUAAUAAUAAUAUAAGAUUGAGAUUUAUCUUUCUCUUAUAUUUUAUAUACUAAUCACUAAUUAUCUACAUAAAUUAUGCUCGUAAGAAAUUGCUCAAAUCUAGAAAGUAUUUUGGUCUAAUUUUGACAUCAUUUUUUUAAAAUUUUAUUUAUUUGCCUGUUUUCCUUAACCUAUUUUUCUCAUUAUCGACGACAAAUUAAACAAAAUAAUUUCAGUUUUAUUACAAAAAUGUCAGCAUCAAACAGACAAGACAGAUAAUUCCAUGUGGAAUUCUGAGGUCAGCUCACAGCUGCUUGAAACUUGAAUUGUCUGCUGUAUAAAAUUAUUGUUAUGUAUAUAUAAUCUGACGUUAUUUAAAUUUAUUCUCAAGUAUUGUUAUUGUAUGCGAUUAAUGAAUUUUUCCACAAUACUUCUCCCAUUACUAUCAAGCGAUGGCCUACGGGAUGUCCUUAAUGGGCUUUUCGGGAUUUUGUUGGCCCACAAAGCCAAUGGGUAUUAAAGGCUUGGCCCAGUGGACCGGACACACCACUAACGCAUGUCCCCUCGCCUCUCUCUCUAGAACGAUAACAAAAAAAUUAUAUCUCCAAACACUUUAAUUAAGUUUUAAAUAAAAAUUGCUUGUCAGUCUGUUUAACCAAAUUAAUCGAUUCAUGGAAAACACUGGUAAUUAAAGGGUGAUAAUUAAUUAACAUUUGUGUAGCAUCACGCAUUGUAGGUAGGUAUAAGCUUUUUUAAUUUGUCUUCUCAAAUAAGAAAAUUGUUUCCCUAAGAAAAAAAAAAAAGAAGAAAAAAAAGUCAAAAAGUGGAAAAGAGCUUUUUCUAUGAAAGCAAAAGAGAAAAGACAUGCAACAAAAAAGUUAUUGAAAAGAUUUAACAGUAGCACCUGUUACUUUGGUUUGGUAUAUCCUUUCUAUUAAAAAAAUAAUAAUUGAUUAAUACAUGAAGAUAAAUCACAUUGCUAAAUGUUAAAUCUCUAAUAUUGUCUCCAGAAAAAUUAUAAUAACACAUAUGUAAAAAAUUAAAAAAAAAAAAAAAUCAAAGCAGAUGAAUCUUUAUACACAUUCUCGUUUCAUUUUCAACUCAAAUGAACAAUUUAUGAGACUUUGAAAUGUCAACACAAGACAAGAGGAAGCAAAGCUCUUUGGCGCAUGAGCGUCAUAAUUUUGAUGCAUGAAUAUUGAGGCCCUCCCCGUGGACCUCAUUCAUUUCUCUUUAUUCUUUUGCCCCUUAUUAAACCCAAAAUAUUUCUCUUUAAAGCACACAAUUUUCUCCUUUUUCGCCUCUGCAAGAAUUAUUAUAAAAGAGAAAGUUUCUCUGAGAAACUGUUUCAGAGCAAUGUGUAUGGUGCUCAACGAAGACCUAGUUACAUAAUUUCAAAGGCGCGUGGGUGGAAAUUAGGUAUAAUUAAUUCUUUUUGGAUAUUCCUUUUUUUUUUUUAAUACUGAUUACACAUCAUAUUACUGCAUUACAUAGAUAUUUACAACAACUGCUAUUAUAACAGAUAUAUUAUACAGAUAUUUACAACAACUGCUAUUAUAAUAGAUAUAUUACACUGAUAUUUACAAUCAGAUAUACAUGAUUGAGACUUACAUUAUUACAUUAAAUUCUGUGAAGUAUAUGCCCAGACAAAUAACCCAUCACAGAGGAGGGAUGUCCAUGCUCCACUCGCAUUUCGCAAGAGAGAAGGAUUUAUAGAUAUUAAGAACAUUUAGCCCUCACAAUGCUUUUGUGGGGGCUUGAGCGUGUGAGGGCAGCGGCCCACCACUUCGACCAAGGCCGAAGUGGCGGAUAUUCCUUUCUAAAGUUACAAGAAAACUGUUUUAUUAUUAUUAUUAGUAUUAUUAUUUUUGUUAUUUUAUGGUUUUCUGAUGAAGUUUGCUACGUCUCAUCUUGUACCUAAUAUAUAUAUAUGUAUAUAUAAUUUAUGAUAGUAUCAAUGUGGUACGAUGAGAGGUAGUGCUAUACAAGCAUUUUGUUUUUGUCCUCCUCCUCCAAAAUGUUAAAUUGUUAAUCAUCUAUCUAUCCAUAGCUACUUAUAUGCCCAUAAUCCCCUUUUUCUUCUAAUUCUUCUUUUUCCCCCCUUAUUUUUGGUAGAAUGGCAAAAUAUUAUAAUGCAAAAAAAAAAAAAUGAUACAGAGAAUACAAGACGCAACCCUAAAUGAUGAGUUAUUAGACGAUUAUGAAACAAAAUAAUAUUUAAAUAAACCAUAAGAAUUACCUCAUAAUCUCUUUAUUAUAGUUUUUUUAGGUGAAUCGUAUGAUGUAAAAGUUGAAUAAGACACUAUGUAUUUACAAGACAAUCUACAAGCAUAUUAUUAUUAUUUUUUCUCUACAGAUAUGAAAGCAAGUAAAUUAAAUCAAACGAAAACAAUUUGACAAUUCAACCACCGUUUAUGUAAACACCGUGGCGUGGAAGGUUGAAAUUUUGUGCUCAUAAGGCUAAAGAAUUUCAAACGUAUUUGUGUGAAAAGUCGUAUUUAUAAUUAGAAACCGGUUGGGAUUUUAUUUAUUUGAAAAAUUUGCCCAUACAUGGGAGAGUGAAAUUUUUUUAUAAAAUUUUAAAAGAGAGUAGGGUUUGAGGGUCCAGCUAUAUACCUUGCUCCUCCGGCAAUGUACCCCAUUUUUUGCCCCCAUUCGAAACAACUGUUGGAUUUCAUCUUGUAUAAUCCAAAGGCUAUAGUUUUAUAUACGCGAUACACUCAAUAUAUAGAAACGUGUUACCAUUUGAGCUGACGAAAACGAUGAUGAAUUUAUGAAGAGAGUGAAAAGGUCAAAAGCCGCGAAAUUAUUAAAAGCUCAAAUUCUUUAGCUGAAUAUUUACUACGAGUUGAGACGGACUCCCAUGUAUCAGUUUUAUGAUCGCUUGGUAUCUUUUUCAUUUCAAUCUAACAACAAUCUCUUCGCUUCGAGAUAAACUAAAGGGGCAACAUGACGUGGCCAGAGUUUGAAAGCAUUGUUAAAGACAAUUGUACCCACUAUGCACUCUCUUUUUUUUUUUUUUCUUUAUUCCAAAUUUAAUAAAUUCCUCGAAACUUCAAUUAUGAUGAUUGAGGAAGAGAAUAUGCCUUUGAACGGACCCAUUUGGUUGGCAUUACCCGUACCUUAUCAGGUUUCAUUUUUUUUUUUUUCCUGAUAAGAGGAUUGAAUUGAAUUAUCCAAUGUGAGAUCCCAAUUAAAAAAUUCAGCCAAUUAGCAUUUGGCAAUUACUUCAAGCCGGCGCGUGCAGGCACGGACUGAUUCUGAAAGUGGGGAUCAAUAUUAUGCUGUACAACGGAGCCCCGGUCCUACGUAAAACAUUACAACUUCCAUCACCGUACGUGCCGCCUUACUAUAUUGCGACACAUCAUUAAAAUCUGUUACACGUCAGAACUGAACCACCGUAUAUGGACCCCACUCCUACGACAGAAGCAAAUGACGUGUUUGGUUGUAAUUAUAGAUUUUUUUACGUGCUUCGAAACAUUUUUUUUUUUGUUGAGAAGCUAAACAUUUUUUUUUUAAUACGUUUGAAUUUAAAAACUUUUUUAUAUUAUUAGUCUUUCAGUAUUUAAUUAAUAUAAAAUUAAAAGCUGUGCUACACAUUUUAAAAUUUCAAAAUAAUAUUUAUUAAUUGAAUUAUAGGAUAAUGUAAUUAAUUUAUUUAAUAAUUAUUACAUACCACAUUAUAUCAUUUAAAAUAAUUUAAAAUAAAAUUUUAAAAUAUUUAUCGUUACCAUAAAAUUAAUAUAAUUUCCUAUUCAACGAUUAAUAUAUUAUAGUAGUACAAACAUUAAAGUUCAAUUCACCCCAAGGUCAAGAUUGGGAAAUGAUUUCCUUUGAUAUUUAUAAUACACAAAACCAAAAA
rnacentral:lncRNA from 1 species